CUAAUUUACCUUGCUGUUAGAGUUUGCUAGUAUCACUGAAAAAAAAAAGCUUUUACAUGUUUGUUUUUUGCACAAAUGUAAUUUAUUCUGAAGCAGUCUAAUCAGUGCUCUAUGAGAUAUUACUUUAAUCAGCAUAUUUUUGAUAUUUGCCUUAAAUUGAUUGCUGUUAUGCCUUUUAACUUAAAAAGAUUAAACUUUCUAACUUUUAAAAGUUAAAUGGAGAUGUCUACAUUUGUUGAAUUCGUACAUGUUAUCCUUACAUUAAAUUAUAAUAAUAAGACAUUAUGGUGGUUAUUAUUAUCAAAAUGAAAUCAGUAUCAACAAACUCAAUCUGUCCAAAUGAAUGUUUUACUUUUUUGACAUACAAAAUAUGAAAUGCUAGAAAAAUGCACUGAUACUUUUAAAUAUGAUAUUAAAUCACCAGUAGGUGGUGACAAGUCACUCUCUUAAUGAGUGAAUCGUUGAUUGAACCGAUUUUCGUAACGAAAGGCUCGCAGAUGUCCGACUGUUCUGCUUUGGCUUUGCUUAGAACAAUUUUUUGUUUGAAAUGGAACAAAAACGACCCAUAAUGUGUCUAAAAUGUAAGUUAAUAUUACUUGUUUAUUUAACUGAAGAUGUAUAAAAUCAAUAUCACAUUAGGAAUCGAGCUGAAAGUCAGAAAAACAUCACUCCUGGUCGUGUGAUGUUGCACAUAUUAUACAGAAUAUUUAGAUUUUUUCAAUCACAGUGUUUCUUUGUGUGUGCUGUUCUUAUAGUUUUGAUUUCUCCGUGAGUCAGACAGACUGCAAGGGCCUCAACUGAUGCGACCUUGAUACUGUCAAUACAUUAUCUGUUAUAACCCAGCAAACACAGAACAUUGUGAGGACGUCGCCAGUUAGUCGUCAUUUGGUCAGCGCGACAUUACUUUAUGGCAACGUUGUGAAGACGUCGUGGUAAAGUUCCAUUUUUUUAAAUCUUGGCUAACUUCCCAGAAACGUUGAGGGCAUAGACAUAUAAAUAGCUAGACGCCUCAUUGGCCGCUCGACCGCACGUCAACGUCGCCGCCAUAUUGGAGCGGGCAACUCUCAUAACUCUCACAUCAGGACAGAAGAAAACAUACCUGACUCAUCGACAGAUUGGACACCUACAAACCGUCACACGAUAAUAAAAACAGAUCUCGGGGUGUUAUCUUUCACACCCAUUUGCAAACAGGACAAGGACAGCCUUAAGGAAAGCUGAGGAAAGCUGGUCUCUGCAUUUCCAAGAGACAAGACUAUACCUCCCUAGACUAGUGUUGUGUUUGUACUAAACCCAGAGCAGCCCUGAAUGAAUCGACACAACGACCCAGCUCAUAUUCUAAUACUAUAGACUACAUUUAAAAAGCUUUGCACAGGCUGUUUAAUGCUGAUCAUGUUCUGCGUGCGUCUUUACACAAAAACUACAUGAUGUUAAUAGACUAGAAAUGAAAAACACAGGAACUCAUAGUGAAUCCAGCUGCAAUAGCAUGAUAAAUUCAUUGUGAUGUUGUUAUAAUUAUUAUUAAUUUUGAUUAAUAUCAAGUUUUUGAGGGGAGCAUCUCAUAUUCUGGUCUGUGAUAAACAUAACUAUACUUUGAGAUUUUGUGGUACAAGGUAAACCUCACACCCAAACAUUCAUAUGUGUUAACAUACAUGGAAAAAUAAAUCACUGUUUCAAAA